rnacentral:rRNA from 1 species
UACGGAGGGGGCUAGCGUUGUUCGGAAUUACUGGGCGUAAAGCGCACGUAGGCGGAUCAGUAAGUUAGAGGUGAAAGCCCAGGGCUCAACCCUGGAACUGCCUUUGAUACUGCUAGUCUAGAGAUCGAGAGAGGUGAGUGGAAUUCCGAGUGUAGAGGUGAAAUUCGUAGAUAUUCGGAGGAACACCAGUGGCGAAGGCGGCUCACUGGCUCGAUACUGACGCUGGAGGUGCGAAAGCGUGGGGAGCAAACAGG